AGAGUUUGAUCCUGGCUCAGGACGAACGCUGGCGGCGUGCCUAACACAUGCAAGUCGAACGAGAAUCUUGGGAAUGAUUCUUUCGGGAUGAAUUCCAAAGAGGAAAGUGGCGGACGGGCGAGUAACGCGUGAGUAACCUGCCCAUAAGAGGGGGAUAAUCCAUGGAAACGUGGACUAAUACCGCAUAUUGUAGUUAAGUUGCAUGACUUGAUUAUGAAAGAUUUAUCGCUUAUGGAUGGACUCGCGUCAGAUUAGAUAGUUGGUGAGGUAACGGCUCACCAAGUCAACGAUCUGUAGCCGAACUGAGAGGUUGAUCGGCCGCAUUGGGACUGAGACACGGCCCAGACUCCUACGGGAGGCAGCAGUGGGGAAUAUUGCGCAAUGGGGGCAACCCUGACGCAGCAACGCCGCGUGCAGGAAGAAGGUCUUCGGAUUGUAAACUGUUGUCGCAAGGGAAGAAGACAGUGACGGUACCUUGUGAGAAAGUCACGGCUAACUAUGUGCCAGCAGCCGCGGU
rnacentral:rRNA from 1 species